rnacentral:rRNA from 1 species
AUUGAACGCUGGCGGCAUGCUUUACACAUGCAAGUCGAACGGCAGCGCGGGCUUCGGCCUGGCGGCGAGUGGCGAACGGGUGAGUAAUACAUCGGAACGUGCCCAGUAGUGGGGGAUAGCUCGGCGAAAGCCGGAUUAAUACCGCAUACGACCUGAGGGUGAAAGCGGGGGAUCUUCGGACCUCGCGCUAUUGGAGCGGCCGAUGGCAGAUUAGCUAGUUGGUGGGGUAAAGGCCAACCAAGGCGACGAUCUGUAGCUGGUCUGAGAGGACGACCAGCCACACUGGGACUGAGACACGGCCCAGACUCCUACGGGAGGCAGCAGUGGGGAAUUUUGGACAAUGGGCGAAGGCCUGAUCCAGCAAUGCCGCGUGUGUGAUGAAGGCCUUCGGGUUGUAAAGCACUUUUGGCGGGAACGAAAAGGACUGUGCCAAUACCACGGUUCGAUGACGGUACCCGCAGAAUAAGCACCGGCUAACUACGUG